GUUACUACUUCCAGCUCCUGGAUUUCGGCUUUGGAUUUGGCCCUGCCUCUGCAGGUACGUGGGGAGUUUCUUGCCUUUUGGGAAGUCUGAGGUCUUCUGCUAGCAUUCAGUAGGUGGUGUUCUAUAGGACUUGUUCCACAUGUAGAUGUACUUUUGAUGUAUUUGUGGGGAGGAAGGUGAUCUCCACGUCUCACUCCUCUGCCAUCUUGAAGGUCUCCUCCUAGGCAAACUUCUUAAAUCAAACUUAUUUCCAGGUGCUUCAUCAAGAUCAA